rnacentral:rRNA from 1 species
GACGAACGCUGGCGGCGUGCUUAACACAUGCAAGUCGUACGGUAAGGCCCUUUCGGGGGUACACAAGUGGCGAACGGGUGAGUAACACGUGAGUAACCUGCCCACAACUUUGGGAUAACGCUAGGAAACUGGUGCUAAUACUGGAUAUGUGCCCCUGCUGCAUGGUGGGGGUUGGAAAGCUCCGGCGGUUGUGGAUGGACUCGCGGCCUAUCAGCUUGUUGGUGGGGUAGUGGCCUACCAAGGCGGCGACGGGUAGCCGGCCUGGGAGGGUGACCGGCCACAUUGGGACUGAGAUACGGCCCAGACUCCUACGGGAGGCAGCAGGGGGGAAUAUUGCACAAUGGGCGCAAGCCUGAUGCAGCAACGCCGCGGGCGGGAUGACGGCCUUCGGGUUGUAAACCGCUUUCAGCAGGGACGAAGCUUUUUGUGACGGUACCUGCAGAAGAAGCACCGGCUAACUACGUG